rnacentral:misc_RNA from 1 species
AUUCAGUAGCUUGCUACUGUCAGGAGGUGCUGUAAGCCCGCAUAGUUUAAUUACUGAUGAGCGGCAGGCCCUCUGUCUGUACCCUUGUCUUUUGCGCACUCAUGUUUCCUCGGCGGGCUUGCCCGCCGAUUGGACAAAACUAUAACCUUUUUAAUUUUCAAUCAGCGUCUGAAAAAACUUAAUAAUUACAACUUUCAACAACGGAUCUCUUGGUUCU